rnacentral:rRNA from 1 species
UGCGAAGGGGGCUAGCGUUGCUCGGAAUUACUGGGCGUAAAGGGCGCGUAGGCGGAUACUUAAGUCGGGGGUGAAAGCCCAGGGCUCAACCCUGGAACAGCCUUCGAUACUGGGUAUCUUGAGUACGGGAGAGGUGAGUGGAACUCCGAGUGUAGAGGUGAAAUUCGUAGAUAUUCGGAAGAACACCAGUGGCGAAGGCGACUCACUGGCCCGUUACUGACGCUGAGGCGCGAAAGCGUGGGGAGCAAACAGG